rnacentral:lncRNA from 1 species
GUUUUUGGGAUGGUUUUUGGAUGUUUUUGGUUUAUUUUUGGAUGUUUUUGGGGUGUUUUUGGGAUGGUUUUUGGAUGUUUUUGGUUUAUUUUUGGGGUGUUUUUGGGGUGUUUUUGGGAUAUUUUUGGGAUGUUUUUGGGAUAUUUUUGGGAUGUUUUUGGGAUGUUUUUGGAUGUUUUUGGGGUGUUUUUGGGAUGGUUUUUGGGGUGUUUUUGGGAUGUUUUUGGGAUGUUUUUGGGAUGGUUUUUGGAUGUUUUUGGUUUAUUUUUGGAUGUUUUUGGGGUGUUUUUGGGGCUGUUCCGGCGCUGUUUGGGGUUUAUUUUGGGAUGUUUUUGGGAUGGUUUUUGGAUGUUUUUGGGGUGUUUUUGGGGUGGUUUUGGGGCUGUCCGGGGCCGUGGCAGCUGCGCGGAGGCACCGGGGGAUCCCAAAUCCCGUCGGGUUCCUGGCUGGGGUUACUUGAAAUGAAGUUCUGGGGGCGGAUCGAGGAGCGCUAGAACUUUCCCCACGUCUCAAGGCAAUAGGAUUAAUUAAUGAAUGAAUUAAUUAACGUGUAAUUAAACUGUAGAUACUCCUAGGACGGGAAAUUGAUGCCGAUUAUUUUAUUUUGUAUCGUUUUUCCCUUUUUGUGUUGUUUUUCCCCUUUGCCCUCCUUUGCUUUCCCCCAGUGUUUCAAUAAAUUUAUUUUUUAGGAUUCCUAAAAAUGGCA